UCCGGGGUAGCUCAGCGGUAGAGCAAUCGGCUGUUAACCGAUCGGUCGUCGGUUCGAAUCCGACCCCCGGAGCCA
rnacentral:tRNA from 2 species